GUUCCAUUAAAACAUUUGACCGUUAGAUAGAGUCCUGUAAUAUAUAUAGGACCAAAACAGCCUGUGAUCAAAACGUGGUGGUGGAUCUUUAUAUACCGGUUUGUAGUUUACUCGCUUGGUAUAUAUAUCAAGCGAGUAAAAGUGUUUUGAAGAAACAAAAACACUUUUGAAGGCUACUUUUAAAAACUUUUCAUUCAUAACAUCUUGCAUAUAGGUAUAUCUAAUGAAUGUCAAUAAAAAUUGUCAAACUACUGUACACUGGUCAUAGAGCAAGAAUUUCAAGGUUUCAAGUUUAGCCAGGUUUUGGGUGUGUUGUGCUACAAAUUAUAUCGGCAACAAAGUCUAAAUUGAAAUAAUAAAAAUAACUUUUGAAACGGCAAUAAUAGGCCGACAACGUAUUCUUUUCGUUUUCAGGAUAUGACCUUAUUAACACAUUGUCGGGCUUGUGCAUUGUAAUAAUUGUCGGGCUCGUGCAAAACUGGUAUUUUAGUUGAAUUAAGCAUCAUGACGUAUUACUAUAAUAUCCUGCCAAAGCUGUUUGGUUAAGUUCAACACAGUCAUGGUUUUCUUUGGGUAUCUCAAAACUUUCACCCCAUAUAUGUCUUCACGGUAUGUUUUGAGAUCAAAUAUUUUAAAAAUGGGAUAGAUAUUUUUGUAAUGUUUGUCUUAUACUUUUCAAUGUUUACUUUACAUUUUGAGUGUUUUGGACACCGUUAUUGGAGAAUUUUUCUGUGUGUGGUCAUUCCAGUCAUCCAGUAUAUAAUUUGAGUUUAAUUUACAGUAUAUCACGAACUGUAUUUAUAUGUCUAUCAAUUUUAAUGGCAACUAAAACUUGUAAAAUAUAAUAAAAUAAAAUUGUCUAAAAUAACCUACACUAAUAGACAACUUGCAUGUUAGACAUAUUUUUGAUCUAGCCGACCUAGGCAAAAAAAAAGUAAAUUCCCAUUAAGAACGUAUUAAGAUUAGUAAACUUGCAAAAUUUGGUUGCGAAAUGUUGUAAAGCUUGGAAAAUAUAGCUUUGCAAAGUUUGCAUAUUUUCAGUAUAUUUGUAUUACGUGCGGAAAUUGUUACCAUUUUUGAGCCGAAAAUGGUAACAAUUUCCGCUCGUAAUACAAAUAUACUGAAAAUAUGCAAACUUUGCAAAGCUAUAUUUUCCAAGCUUUACAACAUUUCGCAACCAAAUUUUGCACUUUUACUAAUUUCAGUAUGUUCUUUUUAGCUGUGGUGUUUGAUUCCCUUUUCUCUGCUUAGAUUAAAAUUUAGUCUAACAUGCAAGUUGUCCAUUAAUAUUUACAAUUUCAAAAGCUUUUUCGUUUUUAAUCAACCUAAAUCCUAUUGCCGAUAACAGUAUAAGCUUCGCUUUGAACCCCAGCGAGAUGGAUAUAAUAUCAAUAAUUUCUUGCAUUAAGUAAGCACAUAUUUUACAAUACAUAUAUCCCUGGUAAUGAUGAACCUAGCCUGUCUAAACGGCUGAAGCGGAAGGCCAUUGUGUAGAGGAAGGGUCGCUCGAGACGGAAUCAGAUCGUGGUUGUUUGGAUUGUGCUUCCAUCAUACGACUUUCAAUAUCACGUUGAAGUUCAUCGCAUUUCUGUCGCAGCU
rnacentral:lncRNA from 1 species